GAUGAACGCUGGCGGCGUGCCUAAUACAUGCAAGUCGAGCGAACGGACGAGAAGCUUGCUUCUCUGAUGUUAGCGGCGGACGGGUGAGUAACACGUGGAUAACCUACCUAUAAGACUGGGAUAACUUCGGGAAACCGGAGCUAAUACCGGAUGAUAUUUUGAACCGCAUGGUUCAAAAGUGAAAGACGGUCUUGCUGUCACUUAUAGAUGGAUCCGCGCUGCAUUAGCUAGUUGGUAAGGUAACGGCUUACCAAGGCAACGAUGCAUAGCCGACCUGAGAGGGUGGUCGGCCACACUGGAACUGAGACACGGUCCAGACUCCUACGGGAGGCAGCAGUAGGGAAUCUUCCGCAAUGGACGAAAGCCUGACGGAGCAACGCCGCGUGAGUGAUGAAGGUCUUCGGAUCGUAAAACUCUGUUAUUAGGGAAGAACAUAUGUGUAAGUAACUGUGCACAUCUUGACGGUACCUAAUCAGAAAGCCACGGCUAACUACGUG
rnacentral:rRNA from 1 species